rnacentral:ncRNA from 1 species
UUGCUCUAGGAGAGAAGGUUAGCCUCCCCUUGAUAAGGAUAGAAAAGAUCCUAGUGGCCUUUACAACACAUAUAAGGUUAAGGUAUUGCCACCUACUCGGUGGCAUCUAACCCCUCUUACAA